AGCUGGAUUUUCUUUCAUUUUUCAGUUGUCCAAAGCGAAGGGAAGCAUAUUGAAGAGUAAUUGAAUCCCCACCCCCACCACCCCAAAAAAAAAAAAAAAAAACUCAGAAUCGGAAAGAAAAGAUGUUUUGUUAAUAAUCCAUCAUAGAGAGAAACAAAACCCUCAACCCAUAUACACAGAUUGUCGAAGCACUUCGUCUUUCUCCGAGAGCGGUAGCAGAGUUCCGGUCGGCCUUCCUCUGGGUAAUUACAAAGAGACAAGUUAAUUGUUUGACAAUCCAAGAAGUUGCCAACAUUAGGUGGAGGAUUCGGAACUCCAGCAUAGGUAUCGUGGAGGGUUUAGUAGCAGAUCAGGGGAUGAUUCUGAGUCAUGGCAUUAUGGGUCCAGUGGUAGAGGAGUUACUGCAAACUCGGUUCCUUUCAGUAGCUGUCAUGCCUCCACUCUUGUUGAGGUUGCAAAAAAUCAUUUUUUGGUUGCCUACUUUGGUGGUUCUCGUGAGAGAGCACCUGAUGUGAAAAUUUGGUUGCAGACUUACAAGUUGAUCAAACUGAUACAAGGGGAAAGUUCUUGUCUAGGAUGGCUCAUGGCUUCCUCCUAUUGUGGUUGAUGAACGACCUAAUGUGCCAAUGUGGAAUCCAGUAUUUAUUCAAGCUUCCAUCAAAUGAAUUGCUACUGUUCUAUAAGAUUGGUCUGGAGGUUGAGAAGUGAGUUUUCAACCGUUCACUGUGUUCAUUGGCAAAUUUUCCUUAUUGGCAUUCUGUAUUCUCAUAUCAAAAUCCCUAAUUAUCAUUUUUUUCUCAAGCCAGUGAGAGCCGAUGCAGAUUAAGAAAGGUUCCAACACAAGUAUUCAUGCCAAACCGAUCCAAAAUCCUAGACUAAUGGGUUUAUAUGGGUCAUGAGCUGGGAAUUUUAUGUUUUUUUUAUUGAAAUGGGCCUAUUUUGAAAACCCAUUUACAAGGGAUAAGUAGCCCAUGCGAGUUUAAUGAUUUAACUGUAUCUAGUUUUGUAAAGUUGUGGAGUCUUGGGGAUAUCAAUAGAUUAGUUUCAUUGUUAGUUGUGAAAGACCUUGAAAAUAUAAAAUUCAUUAAACAUCUUGAAAAAAAUCCCAAUGUAAGCCCUUAGAAAUGUAAAGGCCAUUAGAUUAGGAGAAAGUUCGAAUGAGUGUCUAGAAACCUCCCAACCUCUCUGUAACAGGCUUUGCCUGCAAGCAUUUUGAAGAAGUUAAAAAGUUAAAUGAAAUUUGUGGUUUUAUGCCAAUAGUUGUGAGAUGUAGUGGAGCCUUGUGAGAAGCCCUAUUUUGGACUGUUGAAAAGCUAGUCAAUUUCUAGGUGGGAGGCCUUGUACAUAUUCUUCUUUAUCUUAAAAUGUUAGAGAAUUCUAUUCUUAAUACUGGUUUGUCCCUAUAUGUGAUCCUGUUACCUUGGACUAUUAUGUUCCUAAUACGGGUUGCCCCUCUAUGUGAUCCUGUUUCAAAUGACCUCUCACUGGCAUUGCUGGUUCAAGAUUGAUUUUGCAUUACCGGGCUGACCAAUUAAAAUCAAGAGUCUGACUGAGCAUUUAAUACAUGGUUCAGUCUUGGUUUCAGGAUUGAAGUCCGAUUGAUUAAUCGGUUGAUCUCUACAAGUAUCUAACCUGCCUAGACUGAUGGGACCAA